rnacentral:rRNA from 1 species
GCUGGCGGCGCGCAUAACACAUGCAAGUCGAGCGAGGGCUCAUUUCCCGCAAGGGAGAUGGGUUCCUAGCGGCGAACGGGUGAGUAACACGUGGGCAACCUUUCCUAUCGCGGGGGAUAACAGCGGGAAACCGCUGCUAAUACCGCAUGUCGUCACCGGUCGCAUGGCCGGUGAAAAAAGCAGCAAUGCACGAUGGGGUGGGCCCGCGGCCUAUCAGCUAGUCGGUGGGGUCACGGCCUACCGAGGCGAUGACGGGUAGCUGGUCUGAGAGGACGACCAGCCACACGGGGACUGAGACACGGCCCCGACUCCUACGGGAGGCAGCAGUGAGGAAUCUUCCGCAAUGGGCGAAAGCCUGACGGAGCGACGCCGCGUGUGGGAUGAAGUCCUUCGGGAUGUAAACCACUGUUGGAGGGGAAGACAACUGACGGUACCCUCCGAGAAAGCCCCGGCUAACUACGUGCCAGCAGCCGCGGUAAUACGUAGGGGGCUAGCGUUAUCCAGAAUUACUGGGCGUAAAGCGCGUGUAGGCGGCUGGUUAAGUGUGAUGUGAAAUCUUCGGGCUCAACCCGAAAACUGCAUUGCAAACUGGCC